rnacentral:rRNA from 1 species
GCUAACUGCACUAAAAAUUUUAGUGUAAAAUCGACUAUGUUGAAUAAAAUUCUGGGUAGUACUAUGAUAAUGACAUUACAUAUUCAUAAGUCUUGACCAAAUUACGUGCCAGCAGUCGCGGUAAUACGUAGAAGACAAGUGUUAUUCAUCUUUAAUAGGUUUAAAGCGUACUUAGACGGUAAAUCAAGCCUCCAAAGGGACUAAUUUGCUAGAGUUUUAUGUGAGAAAGUAUUAAAGUACUGUUGGUGUAGAGAUGAAAUUCUGUCAUACCUUAGAAUGGCACAGGUUAUGGCGAAAGCAUCUUUUUAUGUAAAAACUGACGUUGAAGGACGAAGGCUUUGUGUCUCGAACAGGAUUAGAUACCCUAGUAGUCUAAGCAGACAAUGAUGAAUGUCAUAGAUUAGAUGUAAUUUGAUCUAUAAAUGAAAGUGUAAGCAUUCCACCUCAAGAGUAAUUUGGCAACAUUGGAACUGAAAUCAUUAGACCGUUUCUGAAACCAGUAGUGAUGUAUGUUGUUUAAUUUGAUAAUCCGCAAAAAACCUUACCACAAUUAUGUGAAUAGAUAUAUUUUAUCAUACAAGCGUUGCACGGCUGUCUUUAGUUAAUGUCGUGAGACUUUGGUUAGUUCCAUAAAAUUAACGUAAACCCUUACUUUAUUUUAAAAUAAAGUAGCUCACCGCUAUAUUGGAUGUGAUAACAGGGAUCAAGACAAGUCAUCAUGACCUAAUAUAUUGUGGGCUAUAGACGUGCCGCAUAUGCCUUACAAAGAGAUGCUAAAUUGCGAAAUUGAGCUA